rnacentral:rRNA from 1 species
CGUAGGGGGCGAGCGUUAUCCGGAAUCAUUGGGCGCAAAGGGCGCGUAGGCGGAUAUUUAAGUCAGGUGUGAAAACCCAGGGCUCAACCUUGGGAUUGCAUCUGAUACUGGGUAUCUUGAGGACAGGAGAGGAAAGUGGAAUUCCUAGUGUAGCGGUGAAAUGCGUAGAUAUUAGGAGGAACACCAGUGGCGAAGGCGACUUUCUGGACUGUAACUGACGCUGAGGCGCGAAAGCGUGGGGAGCAAACAGGAUUAGAUACCCUGGUAGUCCACGCCGUAAACGAUGAGUGCUAGGUGUAGGGGGUAUCGACCCCUCCUGUGCCGCAGUUAACACAAUAAGCACUCCGCCUGGGGAGUACGGCCGCAAGGUUG